AGUGAACGCUGGCGGUAGGCCUAACACAUGCAAGUCGAACGGCAGCACAGUAAGAGCUUGCUCUUACGGGUGGCGAGUGGCGGACGGGUGAGGAAUACAUCGGAAUCUACUUUUUCGUGGGGGAUAACGUAGGGAAACUUACUCUAAUACCGCAUACGACCUACGGGUGAAAGCAGGGGAUCUUCGGACCUUUCGCGAUUGAAUGAGCCGAUGUCGGAUUAGCUAGUUGGCGGGGUAAAGGCCCACCAAGGCGACGAUCCGUAGCUGGUCUGAGAGGAUGAUCAGCCACACUGGAACUGAGACACGGUCCAGACUCCUACGGGAGGCAGCAGUGGGGAAUAUUGGACAAAGGGCGCAAGCCUGAUCCAGCCAUACCGCGUGGGUGAAGAAGGCCUUCGGGUUGUAAAGCCCUUUUGUUGGGAAAGAAAAGCAGCAGGUUAAUACCCCGCUGUUCUGACGGUACCCAAAGAAUAAGCACCGGCUAACUUCGUG
rnacentral:rRNA from 1 species